UCCCCCCGCCGGGCCCCGGGCCCGUCCCGCCGCCCCCGCCCGCCUACGGGAGGCAGCAGUGGGGAAUUUUGGACAAUGGGGGCAAGCCUGAUCCAGCCAUGCCGCGUGUCUGAAGAAGGCCUUCGGGUUGUAAAGGACUUUUGUUAGGGAGCAAGUCCUGCAGGUUAAGAGCCAGUAGGGAGAUGACGCG
rnacentral:rRNA from 1 species